rnacentral:rRNA from 1 species
GGGUCAGGAGGUUGGUCGUGCCACCGGUACGUACUGGUCUCACUGAUUCCUCCUUCCUGAAGAACCGUAAUGCCAUUAAUUUGGUGUUGCGGGGAAACAGGACUGUUACUUUGAAAAAAUUAGAGUGUUUAAAGCAAGCUAACGCUUGAAUACAUAAGCAUGGAAUAAUGAAAUAGGACGAUCGAUCCUAUUUUGUUGGUUUCUAGGAUUGGCGUA